rnacentral:tRNA from 1 species
GGUCCCUUUCGUCCAGUGUUUAGGACAUCGUCUUUUCAUGUCGAAGACACGGGGUCGAUUCCCGUAAGGGAUAGGUAC